rnacentral:rRNA from 1 species
UACGGAGGGUGCAAGCGUUAAUCGGAAUUACUGGGCGUAAAGCGCACGCAGGCGGUCUGUCAAGUCGGAUGUGAAAUCCCCGGGCUUAACCUGGGAACUGCAUUCGAAACUGGCAGGCUAGAGUCUCGUAGAGGGGGGUAGAAUUCCAGGUGUAGCGGUGAAAUGCGUAGAGAUCUGGAGGAAUACCGGUGGCGAAGGCGGCCCCCUGGACGAAGACUGACGCUCAGGUGCGAAAGCGUGGGGAGCAAACAGG